rnacentral:lncRNA from 1 species
UAUAAAUCCUAAUGUUCCAACCAACUUACUGAAGCAAAAACUUUGGGUUCUUGAUGUACUUAUUAGUGGAGCUUAAAAGAAACGGUAGUCAGUGAUCCCAGAAGUUUGCAGAAUUGAUGCUUCCAAGUGACUGCCUUUCUAAAUCUGUUUGCUGCUUGAUAAGAGUCUCAUUCACCAGCCUAGAAGCCUAAAAUGUUGAGCUACAGGCAGAAUCAGCACCCGCUUGCUAUCAGCAGUUUGAAGUGGAAAUGCGGAAAACAAAACUUCAGACUGGAAAAAUAAGGAACUGAGAAAAAUGAAAAUCGACAGAUUUGUCCAUCACUAUGGAACAGUAGUGCUGGCUGCAAGGCCAAGUGUCUUCUCCAGUUUAAAUUAGGGUUUUGCAAAUAUAUCCCACCCUUGUGGGUUGAUUCAGGGUUGCAUACAGAACCACAGAUUGUGUGCUGAACUUCCACAUUCCCGCUUAUGCAGGGCUGUCAGGUAUUCGUUAUUUUAAAGGUCGCCCCCCUUUACAGAGUGUAACAGAUGUUAUUUAAUUUUCAACAUGCCUUACCCUAUAAAAUUCAACAGAAAAGGCAUUGCAGCUUUUACCUUUAAGGAAAAUUAAUCUGUUUGC